GGGACAUGAGGGUAUGAAUAUCAUGAGGAAGGGAUCACUGGGGAGCCAACUCAGGUGCUGCCUACCACAACGGCUAAAGCAUAUGGUAUCCACAUAGCUCACAUAUCUGGAUGGACCAUGAACUCGCUUCUGCUGCUGCUAAGGGCUACCAUUCUCUGGGUGCUGGAAGCUGAACAACCCUGGUGUGAUAGCCUGCUUUAUGCAGAGUGGUAGGUCAGCCUGUCCAAUCUCACACACAAUGGAGAGCAACAGCGUGGAGGUGGUUCAAUAACUAAUUUAACCUCAAACCUAAUUCUUUGAAUGAUG
rnacentral:lncRNA from 1 species